rnacentral:rRNA from 1 species
UGCAAGUCGAACGGUGAAAGAGGAGCUUGCUCCUCUGGAUCAGUGGCGAACGGGUGAGUAACACGUGAGUAACCUGCCCCAGACUCUGGGAUAAGCACUGGAAACGGUGUCUAAUACCGGAUACGAGCUUCAGCCGCAUGGCUAGGAGCUGGAAAGAAUUUCGGUCUGGGAUGGACUCGCGGCCUAUCAGCUAGUUGGUGAGGUAAUGGCUCACCAAGGCGACGACGGGUAGCCGGCCUGAGAGGGUGACCGGCCACACUGGGACUGAGACACGGCCCAGACUCCUACGGGAGGCAGCAGUGGGGAAUAUUGCACAAUGGGCGCAAGCCUGAUGCAGCAACGCCGCGUGAGGGACGACGGCCUUCGGGUUGUAAACCUCUUUUAGUAGGGAAGAAGCGAAAGUGACGGUACCUGCAGAAAAAGCACCGGCUAACUACGUGCCAGCAGCCGCGGUAAUACGUAGGGUGCAAGCGUUAUCCGGAAUUAUUGGGCGUAAAGAGCUCGUAGGCGGUUUGUCGCGUCUGCUGUGAAAACUGGAGGCUCAACCUCCAGCCUGCAGUGGGUACGGGCAGACUAGAGUGCGGUAGGGGAGAUUGGAAUUCCUGGUGUAGCGGUGGAAUGCGCAGAUAUCAGGAGGAACACCGAUGGCGAAGGCAGAUCUCUGGGCCGUAACUGACGCUGAGGAGCGAAAGCAUGGGGAGCGAACAGGAUUAGAUACCCUGGUAGUCCAUGCCGUAAACGUUGGGAACUAGAUGUAGGGACCAUUCCACGGUUUCUGUGUCGCAGCUAACGCAUUAAGUUCCCCGCCUGGGGAGUACGGCCGCAAGGCUAAAACUCAAAGGAAUUGACGGGGGCCCGCACAAGCGGCGGAGCAUGCGGAUUAAUUCGAUGCAACGCGAAGAACCUUACCAAGGCUUGACAUAUACCGGAAAAGUUCAGAAAUGUUCUCCCCGCAAGGUCGGUAUACAGGUGGUGCAUGGUUGUCGUCAGCUCGUGUCGUGAGAUGUUGGGUUAAGUCCCGCAACGAGCGCAACCCUCGUUCUAUGUUGCCAGCACGUAAUGGUGGGAACUCAUAGGA